AAUUCUAUGUUUACCUGACAGCCUGGACAAAUGUGCUGUGUGAAGGAUGUAAAUCAAAUCAGAUCUUAACUGCUUACAUUUAAGGAGCCUGGUCAUAUUUAAUUGUAAUAUGAACCAAUGAUUUUCUGAUUGCUGAUUCUAAGAGAGUCUUUGUGGAAAUCCUGUUUGGCUUUUUGUCAUUUUAAUUCUCUUUUCUGUUUUCCAGAACAGUUCUCCACAGUCACUGUCUACAUGGGUCAGUGGGACCAAGCAGCACUCUGCUAAUGUGAGACUCUGACCAGCAACAUCCAGCAAGACCCAGACAGCGUUUUCUAUCUCCCAGCUGGAGUUUUUUUGUUUGUCUGUGACUGGAGAGUCAGAUUUUUGUUGAGCCUCACACUUGCAGAGUCUUUUUGCAGGCUCAGAAAACAAAACCAGGAGACCUGUAAAUGUUUCUUCUCCAAUUGGAUGAUGAUAAGACUGUGACACGGGAUGCCACCUUUAGUCUUGUGAUGAAGCAAAGCUCAGGAAGAAGUGUGAUUAAAUGGUACCCACAUGUGUGCUGCUGAGAAGGAUGUACAGGGGCACCUGCAGCCAAAUCCAAGCCUCAGCAACUUCAAGUCUGUCAGCGUGCUGAGGUCACAGAAACAAGAAAAGCAGCUUCAGACUUCAGAGUGUUGUUUACAGUUUUCUGUCAUCAUGAUCUCCCCUGAAGUUUAUCACUAUUAGGCAAGCAAGCAGAGCGGCAGUUUGUGCUCACAGAUGGUGACGGUGUGGAGAGACGGUGGUGUUUCCUCAGAAGAACCAGCAGAGUCACAAAGGGCACCAGUCCUUCUCACCACCUUGACUUGCAGACUGAUGCUCGUCUGCACUGCACAGAGGAAAUCAACUGACCGAGAUGGGCAGGAUAUCAGUCUUGGACUGUCUAACCUGCAGGAGCAGCACUGAAUGAUCACCACACAUGAGCAUGUUCCUGCAACAUUCAGCAGCUUUGCUUUUGUGUCAAAUGUCAAACAGCUGGAGAGGAAACUACACCAGUGUACUGGGAUGUUUCAGCAACACGUGCCAGACGCUGUUCCUUCAUGGUUUCAUCACCAGAGACAGCCCCGCCCACCUCAGGACCUCGCCAUUGAUCAUGAUGAUUAUAAUAAUGACAGCGAGCGGAACUAAGACUGUAAAAAUCCACGACCAGAAUGUUUAGAUGCUUUCUAAUUAUUAAUGAAUACUGAGAGCCUCUUUCUGUGUUUUGUCUGGUUUGGGUUGUUUGUUUUUUUUACCUCAUUUGUUACUAACAAAGUUCACCAAACUCACUCAGUUUACAUUCUGUAUGUUUCCAUCUUUACCAGCCACACUCUUAACUGCAAUUAAGAAAACAAACCGUAGAAAUUGUCGUUUUUCUCUUUUGUAAUUGAUGAUAAUUCAGUGAAUAUACGGCGCUGCUUCCUUUAAUUGCGUCUCACAUUGCUUUAAGUUUUUCAGUGCUCAGUUAUUUUUUACUGUUGUUUGAAUUCUCUGCAUGUUUGACCCUGUAGACUGUUUGAUGGACUGCUUGUCUUCCUGUUUGUAACCGCUGCCUGUUUUUGACUAAAGAUUUGGAUUUCUGACUUUAACACAGCCUCUGCGUGUCCUCCCUUUGUGUCCUCUUCCUCUGUGAAUGUGUUGCAUGUGUCACAGAUUCAUUUUAUUAACAGCUUUCCCACAGUCAGUUGCAUCAGCAUUCAUUCACAGCACAUUUCAGAAGGAUUCAGAUUAAUACAGUGAUCUUAUAGUCAGAAUUAUCCUGACAGACUGCCACUGUAAAUUAUCUUUCAUCAGGUCAAUUUUAAAGUUCAGUAUUUCAAAGCAGGCGUUAUGAAGAAUCAUAUUGGCAUUAGGACUGUAACAAUAUGUACUUACAAAGUCAAAGUUUUUUAAUUAUGCUAGAAUAUUGGAAGACAAUCAACUUUUAGUGUUUUCUGCAUAUUAAUUAUACUGAAAUAGAGAUGGUGACCCUAACUGUACAGAAGCACUAAACAACUGACAAUCUAACAAACAUUAUUGGC